AACAGUCGUCAGUCUUGUUUGAAACAGAUAACAGAGUUUUGAAAACUUGCAUAAAUGUAGUACAUGACUAUUAUUCUAUAAACCAAUAUAAUUAUAAUUCGUGUUUUUACUGUUGGUUAUGGUAUUAGUUAUAAAAUGAAGUAGCAAUAAUGUAGCCUACCUAAUAAAAAAAAAUCUUUAUUAUAACAAGAAAGAAACUGACUCUCAUGUUGGUAUUUCAUUAUUUAGGUUAAUUUGAACUUUUCUAUUGAAAUAUUAUAACAGUUUAUGUUGCUAUUUAUCUAUGAUAACAAUUAAUGUUUAUUUUUCAAGGUUGUCGGUCAUUAACUUAGUUACAUAGAUAACAAUAGCAAUUGCUUUCCUGCGUAUCAUCCUUACUACUGCCUAUAUCGUACCUUAUAUUUUGAGUUUUCUGUGGUGAACGAAUGGCUCAAGUUAAUGAAGCUAAUGGAAUAUCAAAAACAUACCAAGACAAAUUCUGACAUUUUACAACAUUCUCCAGGCCCAUAGAAGACUGACUUAUGAUGGCGAAAGACUUUUGAAGGCGGUUACCUUGAUUGGGAUCAUAUCUAUUAAACCUUCGAAUCCUGCUCUCAAAAGUAAAUGUGAUACCAUUCAAAUGGAAUAAGAUUGAUUUGAAUUGGAAUUAUGAAAUUGAAUUUGUUAUUCCUGUAUCAUAGUGCAUUUUUCUACUAGUUACCCUACGUAUUGUACAUUAUUGUAAUAAAGCACUAGCUGUUCCAUAAUUGGAAGUCUUCGAAAUAAAAGGUUUCUUUUUCAAGUUAG